UACGUAUGGACCGAGCGUUGUCCGGAAUCAUUGGGCGUAAAGAGCGUGUAGGCGGCCAUUUAAGUCCUGCGUGAAAUCUUGCGGCUCAACCGCAAGCGGUCGUGGGAAACUGGGUGGCUAGAGUGCGGGAGAGGAGAGUGGAAUUCCUGGUGUAGCGGUGGAAUGCGCAGAUAUCAGGAAGAACACCCGUGGCGAAGGCGGCUCUCUGGAACGCAACUGACGCUGAGACGCGAAAGCGUGGGGAGCAAACAGG
rnacentral:rRNA from 1 species